GCCUAGUGACUGUCCCUGCUCGCGGGAGACAGGCGCCUCGCGACUAUAAAAUAAUGGGGUUUGCACAAGUAGCCUCGGCUGCAACAUGAUCGAAAUGCGGGGAUAUCCUAAAGCCUCAGGUACCCAACCACUGCAGAAAUGCCGUGGUGUUGUUAUAACCCUGAUGGAUGCUACAAUGGACGAUCCGCAGCGAACCUCUAAGGGCCUGUCACAGCCUAUGGGGGGCGUUCACAGACUAGGUGGUCAUGGGCAUUUUCAUGCUUAAGAUAUAGUCGGACCUCGGUGGAAACACCCUGGAGUUAACGUUCCGUAGGUGAACCUGCGGAAGGAUCAUUACAGAGUACUGCCAUCACUGGUAGAUCUCCCACCCUUGUGUAUUAUACUAUGUUGCUUUGGCGGGCCGCGUGCCUCACGCCUCGGCGCCUUCGGGCCUGAGAGUGCCCGCCAGAGGUCUAAAACUCUGUUAUCAUUAUCGUCUGAGUACUAUAUAAUAGUUAAAACUUUUAACAACGGAUCUCUUGGUUCUGGCAUCGAUGAAGAACGCAGCGAAAUGCGAUAAGUAAUGUGAAUUGCAGAAUUCAGUGAAUCAUCGAAUCUUUGAACGCACAUUGCGCCCCUUGGUAUUCCAGGGGGCAUGCCUGUUCGAGCGUCAUUUCAACCCUCAAGCCUAGCUUGGUAUUGGGUCUCGUCAGUAACAUGGCGGACCUCAAAAUUAUAGGCGGUGCAUUAGGCUCUGAGCGCAGUAACAAACCUCGCUACGGACGCCGAAGUGUAUGACCUAAACUCAUCCCCUCGGGGU
rnacentral:sRNA from 1 species